rnacentral:rRNA from 1 species
UUCCGGUUGAUCCUGCCGGAGGCGACCGCUAUUGGAGUUCGAUUAAGCCAUGCGAGUCGCGAGAAAUUAGAUUCUCGGCGUACCGCUCAGUAACACGUGGAUAACCUGCCCUGUUCAGGGGGAUAACCUCGCGAAAGUGAGAAUAAUACCCCAUAGUUCACCAUGCCUGGAACGGUUGGUGGAUGAAAGCUACGGCGGAACAGGAUGGGUCUGCGGCGUAUCAGGUUGUAGGGGGUGUAAUGGACCUCCUAGCCAUCGACGCGUACGGGUUGUGGGAGCAAUCGCCCGGAGAUGGAUUCUGAGACACGAAUCCAGACCCCACGGGGUGCAGCAGGCGCGAAAACUUGACAAUGCGAGAAAUCGUGAUCAGGGAACUCCAAUUGACGCAGUUUUUACUGUUGUCUGAACCGACUCUAAAUAGGUCGGGUAAUAGGGGCGGGAAAUAUCGGUGCCAGCCGCCGCGGUAAUACCGAAGCCCCAAGUGGUCGUCGAUCUUAUUGGGCCUAAAACGUCCGUAGCCGGUUUGGUACAUUCGUGGGUAAAUCAGACAGCUUAACUGUCUGAAUUCUGCGAGGACGGCCAAACUUGAGACCGGGAGAGGUGUAGGGUACCUGCGGGGUA